rnacentral:rRNA from 1 species
CCUACGGGAGGCAGCAGUGAGGAAUAUUGGUCAAUGGACGAGAGUCUGAACCAGCCAAGUAGCGUGAGGGAUGACUGCCCUAUGGGUUGUAAACUUCUUUUAUAAAGGAAUAAAACGAGGCACGUGUCCCUUUAUGAAUGUACUUUAUGAAUAAGGAUCGGCUAACUCCGUGCCAGCAGCCGCGGUAAUACGGCUGAUCCGAGCGUUAUCCGGAUUUAUUGGGUUUAAAGGGAGCGGAGAUGGGUUGUUAAGUCAGUUGUGAAAGUUUGCGGCUCAACCCGAAGAUUGCAUUUGAUACUGGCAGUCUCGAGUACAGGUGAAGUAGGCGGAAUUCGCGGUGUAGCGGUGAAAUGCUUAGAUAUCACGCAGAACCCCGAUUGCGAAGGCAGCAUACUAGACUCUGACUGACAUUGAGGCUCGAAAGUGUUGGUAUCGAACAGGAUUAGAUACCCGUGUAGUC